CGAACGCUGGCGGCAGGCUUAAUACAUGCAAGUCGAGCGGUCUCUUUCGGGAGACAGCGGCGGACGGGUUAGUAACGCGUGGGAACGUGCCCUUUAGUACGGAAUAGCCAUUGGAAACGAUGAUUAAUACCGUAUACGCCCUAUGGGGGAAAGAUUUAUCGCUAAAGGAUCGGCCCGCGUUAGAUUAGGUUGUUGGUGGGGUAAUGGCCUACCAAGCCUACGAUCUAUAGCUGGUUUGAGAGGAUGAUCAGCAACACUGGGACUGAGACACGGCCCAGACUUCUACGGAAGGCAGCAGUAGGGAAUCUUGGACAAUGGGCGAAAGCCUGAUCCAGCCAUGCCGCGUGAGUGAUGAAGGCCCUAGGGUUGUAAAACUCUUUCGCCAGGGAAGAUAAUGACGGUACCUGGUAAAGAAACCCCGG
rnacentral:rRNA from 1 species